UGGCAAGUCGAGCGGAUGACGGGAGCUUGCUCCUGGAUUCAGCGGCGGACGGGUGAGUAAUGCCUAGGAAUCUGCCUGGUAGUGGGGGACAACGUUUCGAAAGGAACGCUAAUACCGCAUACGUCCUACGGGAGAAAGCAGGGGACCUUCGGGCCUUGCGCUAUCAGAUGAGCCUAGGUCGGAUUAGCUAGUUGGUGGGGUAAUGGCUCACCAAGGCGACGAUCCGUAACUGGUCUGAGAGGAUGAUCAGUCACACUGGAACUGAGACACGGUCCAGACUCCUACGGGAGGCAGCAGUGGGGAAUAUUGGACAAUGGGCGAAAGCCUGAUCCAGCCAUGCCGCGUGUGUGAAGAAGGUCUUCGGAUUGUAAAGCACUUUAAGUUGGGAGGAAGGGCAGUAAGCGAAUACCUUGCUGUUUUGACGUUACCGACAGAAUAAGCACCGGCUAACUCUGUGCCAG
rnacentral:rRNA from 1 species